CCUACGGGAGGCAGCAGUAGGGAAUAUUCGGCAAUGGGGGGAACCCUGACCGAGCAACGCCGCGUGAACGAAGAAGGUAUUCGUAAUGUAAAGUUCUUUUAACAGGGAAGAAAGAGAAAUUUGACGGUACCUGAAGAAUAAGCUCCGACUAACUACGUGCCAGCAGCCGCGGUAAUACGUGGGGAGCGAGCGUUAUCCGGAAUGAUUGGGGGAAAGGGAUGCGUAGAGGGCAUAGUACGUCUUUUGGAAAACUUCUGGGCUAAAACCAGUAGGGCAAAAGAUACUGCAAAGCUAGAGUAUGAUAGAGGAGAGUGGAAGUACAGGUGUAGCGGUAAAAUGCGUAAAGAUAUGUAAGAACACCAGUGGCGAAGGCGGCUUGCUGGGUCGAUACUGACAUUGAGGCACGAAAGCGUGGGGAGCAAACAGGAUUAGAUACCCCGGUAGUC
rnacentral:rRNA from 1 species